rnacentral:rRNA from 1 species
CCUACGGGAGGCAGCAGUAGGGAAUCUUCCACAAUGGGCGAAAGCCUGAUGGAGCAACGCCGCGUGAGUGAUGAAGGCCUUCGGGUUGUAAAACUCUGUCAUUCGGGACGAACCGGAGUCUGAGGAAAUGCAGACUCUCUGACGGUACCGGAGGAGGAAGCCCCGGCUAACUACGUGCCAGCAGCCGCGGUAAUACGUAGGGGGCAAGCGUUGUCCGGAUUCACUGGGCGUAAAGCGCGCGCAGGCGGUGAUGUAAGUCUGAGGUGAAAACCCGAAGCUCAACUUCGGGACUGCCUUGGAUACUGCGUCACUUGAGGAUAGGAGAGGCAAGGGGAAUUCCACGUGUAGCGGUGAAAUGCGUAGAGAUGUGGAGGAACACCUGUGGCGAAGGCGCCUUGCUGGCCUAUUUCUGACGCUGAGGCGCGAAAGCGUGGGGAGCAAACAGGAUUAGAUACCCUGGUAGUCCACGCUGUAAACGAUGAGUGCUAGGUGUAGGUGGGGCUCAUACCCAUCUGUGCCGAAGCUAACGCAUUAAGCACUCCGCCUGGGGAGUACGGUCGCAAGACUGAAACUCAAAGGAAUUGACGG